ensembl:lncRNA
GGCAGAAACAGGAUAUGACUGGUCCAGCUAUUCCAAGGGACGGGCUGUCCUUGCCUGGCGCAAACGGCUUACACUUUCACGCACUGGUUUUCAAAUGAAGCUGAUUGUACGGCCUGGGACCACUAUGGGUUGCCAGGUUUUUACGUUGGCCCCAUAUGUAGAUAGCAGCAGGGCCGAAGUCUAUUUCACACUAUAUAUCUGCUUUACGCCACAACCACAGCCUACUUCUGUGACGGUGCGUGACGAUAUGGCAAAGCCACAUACCCUACCCCAGCACAGUGAUGGGUGGGGUUCUGCUGUUUUAGUGGUCACUACCCCUACCCGGGAUGAGAACAUUCAGGUUGCUACAGGUGUCUCAGGUUUGUCUAACAAUUGGUUAUUAUUGACCGAACAAGCAGCCAAUACAACCCCCACUAGUUGCGUAGUUUGCAUGGGUGCUAGACCAUUGCUCCGCAUUGUCCCGGCCUCUGUCGAGAUCGGAUGUUUAAUGCCCCUUAUGGACAAAGACAAUCCGACUGGUAAUUGCUCCUUGUGGGAUGCAGUUUACCCUGUUGUCUCCGCUACGGUCAGGGCACCAGUAUUUUCCUCUGAUGUUGCCAGGGCCGAAUUUUCCUGUAUUAACUUGACAGGGGGUAUACUACAGUUAGGGAUACUCCCUGAGGGUUGGUGUACAAAUACUAUCGUAAUAGUUGGUGGUUUUAAGCCAGUGAUCAGGGCUGACAUCUGCUGAUGGUGUGGGGGACCUCGGCUUUUUGACAGAACUCCCAAUAAUGCUACGGGUACUUGUGCGCUUGUAACACUUUUGCUGCCUAUCUCUGUUUACCCUAUAGGUGUGGGUGAUUUGGUGACCCGGAUACAGGCUGUGGACCCACAGUUUCUGCCUACCAGAACCAAGCGGGAAGCAGCCCCGACUGGUGGGGAUCCCACAUAUAUUGAUGCCAUAGGUGUUCCUAGGGGGGUCCCGGAUGAGUACAAGCUGGUGGACCAGGUCGCCGCAGGUUUUGAAUCAUCUCUCUGCUGGUGGUGCACUGUGAAUAAAAAUGUUGACCGCAUUAACUAUAUACAUUUCAAUGUCCAAAAAUUAGGUAACUGGACUCAACAAGGUUUUGAGGCCGUACAUGGUCAACUGGCUGCCACCUCCCUUAUGGCUUUUCAAAAUCGCAUUGCCGUUGACAUGUUGCUGGCUGAGAAGGGUGGGAUAUGUUUUAUGUUUGGGGAGCAAUGUUGCACAUUUAUCCCCAAUAACACAGCCUCUGAUGGCAGCCUCACUGUGGCGUUAGAAGGCCUGCGUACCCUUAAUGGUGAAAUGAAAUCCCGUGUGCUGAAGGGAGCAUUUUCAUGUUUGAAAACCACCUGCAGACAAUCAAGAAGAUGGUGCGAUCUGUGAAGAGUCCCCUAGCUCAAAUAUUCAACGGACUGGAGGAGAGUCUGACCAGGCCAAUUGAACAGCCAAAAAGCCAAACCACAAAAAAGAGCAAGGACCAGACCAAACCUGUUGCAAGAUGGAGAGAGCUGUGAGCUUGUGGUGGUGGUUGGGAAAGAGGAAAAGGGGCUUUGUAAACUGUACCACCAACCAGAACCUCUGUUCUUGGAGUCAUGCAGCUCAUCGCUGAUUGGUAUGUUCAAAUACCACAGGAGAAACACUGUUGUAAAAUGAAUACCAACCACGGAGAUCUGGCAGAGGGCCAUACGAGUAGAGAGAGGACAAAAUACCAUUUUUAUUGCAGUACUACAUCUGAAGAUGCCUGCUGUGGAGACUAACACACUGACACAAACACGGUUGCUGCCCUACCACAUAUGAGAUCUUGACGAAUGGAAGAUGUUCCACUGCCACUAGUGGCACAAACAUUUGGUGAGAACACAAAAACCGUAUGCCACAGUGCCAUGGUAGUGGUCACUGAUCAAAGUUAUCUUUCAAAUCAAAUCUAAUUUUAUUGGUCACAUACACAUGGUUAGCAGAUGUUAAUGCAAGUGUAGCGAAAUGCUUGUGCUUCUAGUUCCAACAUUGCAGUGGAAUCAGAACAUGAUUUUGUGCAUACGUGUGUCAUGGUUUGGGCUUUAGCUUGCCCAAAGCCUGAUGAAUUUCUAAUGAGCUUAUUCGAACAUAUUCUUCAUAAACAUUGAGACACCUCACCAGUGAUCACAUAUAACUAAAAUAUAUUCACUAUGAACUCACCAAAAGGGAUUCACCUUGACAUUGGAUACAAUUCUGAAAGUAAUCAAAUGAUCAUGAAAUAAUGCAAAUGCACACUUAUCUCUUUUGAUAGUCCAUGAUCAGGCGCAGUGGGUCCUGGAGGUGGAGGAAGGCAGGCACCAUCAGCCAGAGACUGGCAACACACUCAUCUUGUUCCAGGACAGAGAAGAGAGUGACUAAAUGCCACCAAUUGAGGAGUUUUUGUAUGGAGGUCAAUGAGAGAGUAUUGAAUUUGGUCAGCAAAAAAUGUAAUUGCUCAUUUACUAUAUGAGGUGAGGCUUAUUUGAUGUUUAAGUUUUACGAAUGUACUGAUACAAGUAGACAAGGUCACAGUGGAUAAUGACUUGAUUUCACACUUUUAAGUGUGGAACUGCACUGCUUGCAUUUUGUCUACUUGUAUACUGUUAGUUCUCACAAACCCUCAACACCAUUCUCAGAUGGACUGUACACAGCCGCCCAGCAAACAGCUCACUUCCUGGCACCACAGAUUCAAUUAAUUCAUGGUAUUUUAACCUUUUAUUUUAGGUUUAGUUUAACCUGAAAAAUGUAUUUCAUACUUCUCAAGUACUGUAUUUUUAUUAAUGUGACUUGCAACAUUGAAAAUGUGACUCUACAUUCGCCUCCUUUCACGUACCUUCCAUAUUUUCUUAAAGUUUGAGGACAUGUAUUUCCAUUGUUAAGGCUAAGUUCUUUGUUAGAACCUUUGUAGGAUGGCAUCGUUAAAUCUCCAAGCUGUUUCCAAGCUAUUUCCGAAAACCAUCGUUACUAAUGUUGCACUUGAAAAUGCUCUUUAUUUACCGACUGCCUCAGACCACUCGUAGGACAGCUAAGGGCAUUAUUAUACACAAGAUAUCUGCUAUACACGGAAUCAACAUGUUUUUCUGUCUCUCUGUGACCACUGUUAGCUUCAGAACAAAAUUGACUACAAAUACAAAGUUGCCAAUGUCUUUGGAAUUGUUACAAACAACCAAAGGAUACAAAUAUACUUAAAAUGUAAACUGAAAUGACUGCAUAGCAAGAUAAUUAAGCAACAUGGGCCUAUAUAUUUAAAGCAUAUUGAAAUCAAUUUCAUGUUUAAUCAAGUUCUAUUUUCUAUUGUACUACAUUUUCGCCCUAAGCAUUUAGAAUAAGCCGCCUCACUAUUUGCAGCCAUAGGUGUAAUGUAUCUUUAGGGGCUGAUCUGUUGUCAGUAUUGUGAAAUAAUUAUAAUGUUAAGGUAAGAUUUGAAUGGAGAAAACUGUUCAGAGAGCAGCGCUGGAUUUCUUUCGAUCCUAUCAGUAUCAACACAUAUCUUUCUUGUAUGUUGGAAGCAUUGUCAUACAAUCUGCGAUGGGAGCUUUAACAGUACAUGGAUAAGGUUGAUAGAAUCCAUGUGUGAUCACUGCCAUGCAGUAAUGGGUGAUCAGGGAGUACAGGAGGGGACUGAGCAACAGGGAGAACAGGAGGGGACUGAGCAUGCACCCCUGAGGGGCCCCCGUGUUGAGGAUCAGCAUGGUAGAUGUGUUGUUACCUACCCUUACUACCUGGGGGCGGCCCGUCAUGAAGUCCAGGAUCCAGUUGCAGAGGGAGGUGUUUGGUUCCAGGGUCCUUAGCUUAGUGAUGAGCUUUGAGGCCACUAUGGUAUAGAAUGCUGAACUGUAGUCAAUGAAUAGCAUUCUCACGUAGGUGUUCCUUUUGUCCAGGUGGGAAAGGGCAGUGUGGAGUGCAAUAGAGACUGCAUCAUCUGUGGAUCUGUUGGGGCGGUAUGCAAAUUGGGGUGGGUCUGGGGUUUCUGGGAUAAAGGUGUUGAUGUGAGCGAUGACCAGGCUUUCAAAGCACUUCAUGGCUACAGACGAGAGUGCUACGGGUUGGUAGUCAUUUAGGCAGGUUACCUUGGUGUUCUUGGGCACAGGGACUAUGGUGUUCUGCUUUAAACAUGUUUAUAUUACAAACUCGGUCAGGGACAGGUUGAAAAUGUCAGUGAAGACACUUUCCAGUUGGUCAGCGCAUGCUUGGAGCACACAUCCCGGUAAUCCAUCUGGUCCUGCGGCCUUGUGAAUGUUGACCUGUUUAAAGGUCUUACUCACAUUGGCUACGGAGAGCGUGAUCACACAGUCGCCCGGAACAGCUUCGGUGUUGCUUGUCUCGAAGUGAGCAUAGAAGUCAUAGAAGUGUGGUAGGCACGUAUCACUGGGCAGCUUGCGGCUGUGUUUCUCUUUGUAGUCCAUAGUAGUUUGCACGUCCUGUCACAUCCGACGAGCGUUGGAGCCGGUGUAGUACGAUUCGAUCUUAGUCCUGUAUUGAGGCUUUCCCUGUUUGAUGGUUCGUCUGAAGGCAUAGUGGUAUUUCUUGGUUAGAGUCCCGCUCCCUGAAAGUGGCAACUCUACCCUUUAGCUCAUUGUGGAUGUUGCCUGUAAUCCAUGGCUUCUGGUUGGGCUAUGUACGUACGGUCACUGUGGGGAUGAAGUCAUCGAUGCACUUAUUGAUGAAGCCAGUGACUGAUGUGGUUUACUCUUCAAUGCCAUCGGAAGAAUCCAAAAACAUAUUCCAGUCUGUUAGAAAAACUGUCCUGUAGUUUAGCAUCUGUGUCUUCUGACCACUUCCGUACUGAGUCACUGGUACUUCCUGCUUUUACAUACAGUAUUCUUAUACACAGUGCAGACCUGAGAUGACACAAAGUGAAAAAAAUAGCUCAAAAGUAACAGAUAAAUGUUCCUCAACACACAAACUGUGAACACAUUUGUGUGUUUGAGGUUCUUGUUGUGGGUGGGGGGGUUCAAUCCAAUGCACUUACAAUAAAAAACACUCAAAACAUCAUCACUGUGGAAUGAAACCAUGCAAAGAUGAGAUCUGGUGUUUGUUACUCUUUCACACGUGCAACCUGCCUAAAUGACUACAGACCCGUAGCACUCACAUCCGUAGCCAUGAAGUGCUUUGAAAGGUUGGUAAUGGCUCACAUCAACACCAUUAUCCCAGAAACCCUAGACCCACUCCAAUUUGCAUACCGCCCAAACAGUUCCACAGAUGAUGCAAUCCCUAUUGCGCUCCACACUGGCUUUUCACACCUGGACAAAAGGAACACUUAUGUGAGAAUGCUAUUCAUUGAUGUGGAAGUACCACCAGAGUGCAGGCUGGGCUCACGGAUAGUAGCCCAACAAGGCAUGGGAGACAAGGUAACCAGAAGCAAUUAAGCACAGCUGAAGGUACUAAUGACAUAUUCUCCUUCCCCUAUAAGAGAGAGUAUGGAACCAACAGAGAAGGGGGGGAAACUAUCUCUGGAAGAUGGCCACCGAGGCAGAGGAGCUAUCCAUGAAGAACCACUAAGACGUGACGCCCAAUUACUUGGUCCGCUCACAUUGACUACAGCUCAGCGUUCAACACCAUAGUACCCUCAAAGCUCAUCACUAAGCUAAGGAUCCUGGGACUAAACACCUCCCUCUUCAACUGGAUCCUGGACUUCCUGAUGGGCCGC